CCUUAAGCUAAGCUUAACUAUUUAUGCUUUAAUUGGUACUUGGUGGAAGACCAAGCAGCUCAGCUUUCUUGUUAAUUACCCAGAUAACUUGUAGAGACUUCAAUUUUAGAAUAUGUGGUAAUUUUAAGUGCUGUAGGUCAUAUGCUGUACCAUACACAAAGACAGACCAAAGCUGCUUGCUUGUCAUACUAAAUCUGAAACUCAACUUACAAAAGUAUUUCCCUCCACAUCUCUAGAAUCACAUGAAUAAGAUUUAUACCAUGAAGCACCUAUCUUGAUAGCUUCUGCACUUACAUAACAUGUAAGUUAAUUUGUUAGCCUUGUUUGACCUGUAUUAACUGUCUUUAUCUUAAUUGCUCCAUCUACUCUUUAUGUUCUUGUUUUUCAGUGUAACUCCUAGAAAUAAGGAGUUGGAUUUUCCUACCAUAAAGCCCAUUACUGAGAAUUACAAGAAAUUUAAGUGUGUCUUGUUUUUAUGAGUACCAAAUCAUACAAAAUGACCACAGUACAAAUAAGUGGUCCCUUCCCCUAAAUAGUCAUAAGUAAUAGCUUGAUUAACUAAGGCACUUGUUAUCCAGGCCCUUCAGUGGUAAAUGGAGUUAUUGACUGACAAAUUGAUGUUUAGAAUCUGUUAUGCUAGCUGAAAAGCUCUCCAACUACUGCCCCCAAUCUACCAUUCUGGAGUUCUAAUACCUGUAACACACACAUGCAUCCCAUUAACCUCUUUCAGCACAUAUUUAUACAAGAUUAUAAUUUUUGGCAUCUAAAUAGAUGCUGAAGCAGUAAUUUCCUCUAAUACUCCUAAAGCAUGAGGUGGUGUUAAUCUCUGUGCAUCAGCUGGUUCACUAAUGACUACA